rnacentral:rRNA from 1 species
GUUUAAGGCUACACAACCCUGAAUGCACCUGAUCUCAUCAGCUCUCAGAUGCUAAACAGGGUCAGGCAUGGUUAGUACUUGGUUGGGAGAAAACAGGAGGCCAGAGGAG